GUCUGCUUUUACUAACCUUGCAGCUUGCUGCCUGUGUUAGCUAUCUUUUCCUCUGUUUUUUGCAGCUGUUUAAAAGUGAAAAUUAAGAGAAGGGAGAACGUGAUCCUCCAGCGAGACCCAGCACGGCUGAGGGCCUCUGAUGACUCGAGGACUCUGGGUGACCUCAGCACGCCCACUUGCUGUGUGCAGCCUAGUGCCCCUACAGCUUACCUGGCCUACUGUGAGCAGACCCUACGCACAUCCAAACCACUCUCCCAUAAAGCGGCUGUGCUCCCAGGCUGCAAGCUGGGCGCUGCACCGGUUGUGUAUUGCACGCGAUCCAGACGGGACCAUCUGAGGAUUGCUCCACUCCGCUGUAAGCUGCACCGGUUGUGUGACUGCAUGCAAACUGCCUGAAGGCUACGCUUCACACUGUUGCAAGCUACUCGCUGCUCCUGGUUUUGUGACUGCAAGCAGCCAAGACAAAGACACACAGCUCAGUGCCUUGGUGCUUCGGCCUUCGUGCUUGGUGCUCAGUGCUCCAGCGCCCCAGUGUUUAGGCCUUGACACCCACGAUACCCUUAGGUCCUCGGUGCUUCAGAGCCUCGUGUCUUAGUGCUUUGGCACCCUCUGUGCACUAGAGCCUCAAUGGCUCAGCACCCUCAGUGUUCAAGUGCUCCCCAAUGUCGAUGGCUUUAUGCCCCAGUGCAACAAUUCCUCAGUGCCUUCUGUGCUUCGGCAUGGAUUCCCUUGUGAUGUGAGCCUACCUGUCAGACAACAGAGUAGCUGCCAUUAGCAACUGUCUGG